rnacentral:rRNA from 1 species
ACUCCUACGGGAGGCAGCAGUGGGGAAUCUUGCGCAAUGGGCGAAAGCCUGACGCAGCCAUGCCGCGUGAAUGAUGAAGGUCUUAGGAUUGUAAAAUUCUUUCACCGGGGACGAUAAUGACGGUACCCGGAGAAGAAGCCCCGGCUAACUUCGUGCCAGCAGCCGCGGUAAUA